CGCAGGUUCGGGUCUCACGUAGUGAGACAACGGAGCCGCUUGCGGCGACGGCCCGAAGGGCGAGCAAAGCGAGUCAUCCUGCACGACCCACCA
rnacentral:sRNA from 26 species